AGGAAUCGUACCCGAAACCGACACAGGUGGUCAGGUCGAGUAGACCAAAGCGCUUGAGAGAACUCUGCUGAAGGAACUAGGCAAAAUGGUACCGUAACUUCGGGAGAAGGUACGCUGCCGACGGUGAUAGGAUUUACUCCUUGAGCUAUUGGCAGCCACAGAAACCAGGCCCCUGCAACUGUUUAUUAAAAACAUAGCACUCUGCAAACACGAAAGUGGACGUAUAGGGUGUGAUGCCUGCCCGGUGCUGGAAGGUUAAUUGAUGGGGUUAGCGUAAGCGAAGCUCUUGAUCGAAGCCCCAGUAAACGGCGGCCGUAACUAUAACGGUCCUAAGGUAGCGAAAUUCCUUGUCGGGUAAGUUCCGACCUGCACGAAUGGCAUAAUGAUGGGGGCGCUGUCUCCAGCAGAGACUCAGUGAAAUCGAAUUCGCCGUGAAGAUGCGGUGUACCCGCGGCUAGACGGAAAGACCCCGUGAACCUUUACUGCAGCUUGACAUUGAACUUUGAUCUUACUUGUGUAGGAUAGGUGGGAGGCUUUGAAACCGAGACGCUAGUUUCGGUGGAGCCAAUCUUGAAAUACCACCCUGGUAAUAUUGAGGUUCUAACUCUGUCCCGUUAUCCGGGACGAGGACCAUGUCUGGUGGGUAGUUUGACUGGGGCGGUCUCCUCCUAAAGAGUAACGGAGGAGUACGAAGGUGCGCUCAGCGUGGUCGGAAAUCACGCGUAGAGUAUAAAGGCAAAAGCGCGCUUAACUGCGAGACCCACAAGUCGAGCAGGUACGAAAGUAGGUCUUAGUGAUCCGGUGGUUCUGUAUGGAAGGGCCAUCGCUCAACGGAUAAAAGGUACUCUGGGGAUAACAGGCUGAUACCGCCCAAGAGUUCAUAUCGACGGCGGUGUUUGGCACCUCGAUGUCGGCUCAUCUCAUCCUGGGGCUGAAGCAGGUCCCAAGGGUAUGGCUGUUCGCCAUUUAAAGAGGUACGCGAGCUGGGUUUAGAACGUCGUGAGACAGUUCGGUCCCUAUCUACCGUGGGCGUUGGAAAUUUGAGAGGAUCUGCUCCUAGUACGAGAGGACCAGAGUGGACGAACCUCUGGUGUACCGGUUGUGACGCCAGUCGCAUCGCCGGGUAGCUAUGUUCGGAAGGGAUAACCGCUGAAAGCAUCUAAGCGGGAAGCCUACCUCAAGAUAAGAUUUCCCUAGGA
rnacentral:rRNA from 1 species